CCCCAAAUUAAAACCCACUAACCCUAACCUUACCUCACCGCCACUCACUCUACUCUCUCUUAACACAUACAACCGUAUCAAACUCCUGCACCUAAGCCAUUCCAAUUUGCAAUUCCAUUUCAUUCAUAGAUUCCAUUAUUAAAUAAUGUCAUGAGAUGAUUUAGUUAAUUUCCCAAACCCAACAAUCCCUAAAGCCCCUCGAAUCUCACCACUCCAUUGAUUCAUGCAUUUUCCAAUUCGGUACAUGGAAGCCCUUCACCAACAAGCACCCUUGUCUCUCCGAAGGCAAAACCCCUUCUGUUCCAAUUGAUUUUUCCAAGCUUUCUCUUCUCGACGAUGAUUCCACUCCUAAACCCGUCAAUUCAUCAUCCUGCCAUCAUUACUACAUGAAGCUGUCGAACGGAGCUGAGGAAGAGAGAGGGACGAACUCGUGAGGGAGAAGGAGAAGAGGUUGUGCCGCCGCCGCUACGAGGGUCCGUCGCCGUCGCCAAAGCUCGCAAUGCCGUCGGAAAGCCAGCCGCGGUGAGAGAGAGAGCGCUCAUGAGGGUUAGAGCCGCGAGGAGUUGUGAACCGCCGCUGCUGACGGAGAAGAGAAGGAAUCCGAGAGGAGAGGAAGAGAAGCUGCGCCGCCUCCUCGCGCCAGUCAUCGUCACAAGCUCCGUCGCCACUGUUGGAGGUGGGUUGUUGAGCUUGUGUCGCCGGAAAAUGGCGUUGCCGUAGCUGAGGUCCAUUGCCGUUGUCGUUGCUGAGCUUCUGGCCACCGGGAACGGUGCUGUGGCCGCUGGAACCUUGGUUUGAGUCACUGCCGAUAGUCACUGAUAGAGGUUGAGUAUUGCCGCUAGUGUUGCCGCGGGGUUGCUGAAGCUGCUACUAGUUCUGAUUUUGUUAUCUUGGAUUGUAAUUGCUUUUAAUUCCUAUCCAAUUUGGAUUUUCCAUUUUGCUGCAACCAUGGCCAUUGCUGUGAAGACUAACAAUAUCACCGUUCCGGUUGCUGCCACUGUCGUUCCAGUUGCGUGAGAGUCGCAGCUGUUGCCAUGAACUAAAAGGAGAGGGAAUUAUCACAAUAAAUUUGUGCGAACUCGAUUAAUCGAGCUUUACCUUUUCAGGAACCGGAUGAAGAAGCAUUAAGAAGAAUUGUACUGCGUUUGGUUUAUAUGUUGUUAUAUUAAUUAGUUUAUUUUCUUCCCUCGUCUUUGUUAUUACAAAUUUGUAAGAGGGAUAGGAAUUGUAUGUUUUAUUUGUAUAUACUAUUAUGAGUUAGUAUAUAAAGAGUCUUGUAUAUGAAUCUAUGCUUGUUUGUAUUUUUUAUAAGAUUAGGUAUUAAUUUCCGGUUUUCAAAGAAA